rnacentral:rRNA from 1 species
UCGCCUUGUUUUUCAAAAACAUCGCCUCUUGCAAGACCAAAGAAUAAGAGGUCACGCCUGCCCAGUGACAAUAGUUAAACGGCCGCGGUAUUUUAACCGUGCCAAGGUAGCGCAAUCACUUGUCUCUUAAAUGGGGACCUGUAUGAAUGGCAUGACGAGGGCUUGACUGUCUCCUUUUUUAAGUCAAUGAAAUUGAUCUCCCCGUGCAGAAGCGAGGAUAAAACCAUAAGACGAGAAGACCCUGUGGAGCUUUAGACACUAAAGCAGCUCUUGUUAAACAAACUAAGACAAAAGACCUAAACUUAUAGAAUCCUGCCCUAAUGUCUUUGGUUGGGGCGACCAUGGGGAAGAAACCAACCCCCACGUGGAAUGAAAGAAUACCCUUUCACAAUUAAGAGUUACAACUCUAAACAACAGAACUUCUGACCAGACAAGAUCCGGCAAUGCCGAUCAACGGACCAAGUUACCCCAGGGAUAACAGCGCAAUCCCCUUUUAGAGCCCAUAUCGACAAGGGGGUUUACGACCUCGAUGUUGGAUCAGGACAUCCUAAUGGCGCAGCCGCUAUUAAAGGUUCGUUUGUUCAACGAUUAAAGUCCUACGUGAUCUGAUUUCAGACCGGA